rnacentral:rRNA from 1 species
AACGAACGUUAGCGGCGCGCCUAACACAUGCAAGUCGAGCGAGAAGGGAGCAAUCCCAGUAAAGCGGCGCACGGGUGAGUAACACGUAGGUAAUCUACCUCGAGGUGGUGGAUAACCUUCCGAAAGGAGGGCUAAUACAGCAUGAGACCACGUCUUCGCAAGAGGAUGAGGUUAAAGCGGGUCACUACAAGUAAACUCGCGCCACGAGAUGAGCCUGCGGCCCAUCAUGGUAGUUGGUAGGGUAACGGCCUACCAAGCCGAAGACGGGUAGCUGGUCUGAGAGGAUGAUCAGCCACACUGGAACUGAGACACGGUCCAGACUCCUACGGGAGGCAGCAGUGGGGAAUCUUGCGCAAUGGGCGAAAGCCUGACGCAGCGACGCCGCGUGAGUGAUGAAGG